AAAAUUCGGUGACAACUUUGCCGAUGAGAAUUUUGAACUGAAGCACACCGGCCCUGGAGUAAUAUCCAUGGCAAAUGGAGGAGCAGACACCAACGGAUCACAAUUCUUCAUUACUACUGUGACAACUAGCUGAUUGCAAUCUCCAGCUCCCAAACAUGGCAGAAGAUGAUUUCUCUGUGAUGAAGAACUGGGUUUCAAGGAAUUAUUACCCUGCAAGUCAUGCAUUGGACAAUGGGGUUGAAUCUGGGUCUGUGAGUGCAUUGGGGUAUAGGGAUUUGCAGUCACUGAGCUUGCCCUGGCUCCCAAUCAAGCUGUGUUACUGGUUCACAGCAGAUCUCACCCACUGUUACUGAGUGUGUAGCCAUGGAGGGAAAGAAAAGAGGGUCUGAGAAGCUUGAUCAGAAGCAGGUUGUCCAUAGGAAGUCCAUUGAUACAUUUGGACAGAGGACUUCACAGUAUAGAGGUGUCACAAGGUUAGUUCUUUAAUCUCCUUCCAUCUCUUUUCUGUAAUAUGCUAGAUGUUCUUUGUUAUUGCAUCUGUCUAUCUUUUUAUUUUAUUAUACAAAAUGCAUACCUUUCUUCCUACAUCACUCAUUAUCCUGUUAGGAAUUAGUCACACCUAACCAGGAUUGGCUCACAGAAAAACAGAAAAGAAUAAAUGCAUAAGAAUUAUAAAUCACAUGCAUAUACA